UCCUCGGUAGCUCAGUGGUAGAGCGGUCGGCUGUUAACCGAUUGGUCGCAGGUUCGAAUCCUGCCCGGGGAG
rnacentral:tRNA from 3 species